rnacentral:rRNA from 1 species
CCUACGGGUGGCAGCAGUGAGGAAUAUUGGUCAAUGGACGAGAGUCUGAACCAGCCAAGUAGCGUGAAGGAUGACUGCCCUACGGGUUGUAAACUUCUUUUAUAUGGGAAUAAAGUUCAGCACGUAUGCCGUUUUGUAUGUACUAUAUGAAUAAGGAUCGGCUAACUCCGUGCCAGCAGCCGCGGUAAUACGGAGGAUCCGAGCGUUAUCCGGAUUUAUUGGGUUUAAAGGGAGCGUAGGUGGGUGGUUAAGUCAGUUGUGAAAGUUUGCGGCUCAACCGUAAAAUUGCAGUUGAUACUGGCAGUCUUGAGUGCAGUCGAGGUAGGCGGAAUUCGUGGUGUAGCGGUGAAAUGCUUAGAUAUCACGAAGAACUCCGAUUGUGAAGGCAGCUUACUAGACUGUAACUGACGCUGAUGCUCGAAAGUGUGGGUAUCAAACAGGAUUAGAUACCCCUGUAGUC